rnacentral:rRNA from 1 species
GACGAACGCUGGCGGCGUGCCUAAUACAUGCAAGUAGAACGCACAGUUUAUACCGUAGCUUGCUACACCAUAGACUGUGAGUUGCGAACGGGUGAGUAACGCGUAGGUAACCUGCCUGGUAGCGGGGGAUAACUAUUGGAAACGAUAGCUAAUACCGCUUAAUAUUAAUUAUUGCAUGAUAAUUGAUUGAAAGAUGCAACUGCAUCACUACCAGAUGGACCUGCGUUGUAUUAGCUAGUAGGUGAGGUAACGGCUCACCUAGGCGGCGAUACAUAGCCGACCUGAGAGGGUGAUCGGCCACACUGGGACUGAGACACGGCCCAGACUCCUACGGGAGGCAGCAGUAGGGAAUCUUCGGCAAUGGACGAAAGUCUGACCGAGCAACGCCGCGUGAGUGAAGAAGGUUUUCGGAUCGUAAAGCUCUGUUGUAAGAGAAGAACGGGUGUGAGAGUGGAAAGUUCACACUGUGACGGUAUCUUACCAGAAAGGGACGGCUAACUACGUG